rnacentral:lncRNA from 1 species
UGUCACUAAUCUACUCUCUAUUUUCCUCUAAUGAUUGUAACUAGUCCUUUCAAAUGAGCUUUUUGUCAGAAAACGAUGGCCUGAGGAAUCCAAAUGGAAAAGAACAAAUCUUGCAGUUCAUGCUAGCAGCCGUAGCUGGCUGCUCUUUGAAUUAUUACACCAGAAAACUCUUUUGAAGACUGAUUUGUUCUUUUUGAGGAAAUUGGAGGAAGUAAGAUACUUCCACCAAUAUGAUAUUUAUAAUGGCACAGUGAGAUGGUAUGUAUAUAUAUCCUUUGAUAUG